rnacentral:tRNA from 1 species
GCGAAUAUAGCUCAGUCUGGUAGAGCGUCUCGUUGCCAUCGAGAAGGUCGUCGGUUCGAAGCCGUCUAUUCACU